rnacentral:rRNA from 1 species
AGUGAACGCUGGCGGUAGGCCUAACACAUGCAAGUCGAACGGCAGCACAGUAAGAGCUUGCUCUUAUGGGUGGCGAGUGGCGGACGGGUGAGGAAUACAUCGGAAUCUACUCUGUCGUGGGGGAUAACGUAGGGAAACUUACGCUAAUACCGCAUACGACCUACGGGUGAAAGCAGGGGAUCUUCGGACCUUGCGCGAUUGAAUGAGCCGAUGUCGGAUUAGCUAGUUGGCGGGGUAAAGACCCACCAAGGCGACGAUCCGUAGCUGGUCUGAGAGGAUGAUCAGCCACACUGGAACUGAGACACGGUCCAGACUCCUACGGGAGGCAGCAGUGGGGAAUAUUGGACAAUGGGCGCAAGCCUGAUCCAGCCAUACCGCGUGGGUGAAGAAGGCCUUCGGGUUGUAAAGCCCUUUUGUUGGGAAAGAAAUCCAGCCGGCUAAUACCUGGUUGGGAUGACGGUACCCAAAGAAUAAGCACCGGCUAACUUCGUGCCAGCAGCCGCGGUAAUACGAAGGGUGCAAGCGUUACUCGGAAUUACUGGGCGUAAAGCGUGCGUAGGUGGUCGUUUAAGUCCGUUGUGAAAGCCCUGGGCUCAACCUGGGAACUGCAGUGGAUACUGGACGACUAGAGUGUGGUAGAGGGUAGCGGAAUUCCUGGUGUAGCAGUGAAAUGCGUAGAGAUCAGGAGGAACAUCCAUGGCGAAGGCAGCUACCUGGACCAACACUGACACUGAGGCACGAAAGCGUGGGGAGCAAACAGG